rnacentral:rRNA from 1 species
GACGAACGCUGGCGGCGUGCUUAACACAUGCAAAUCGAACGGAAAGGCCCUGCUUUUGUGGGGUGCUCGAGUGGCGAACGGGUGAGUAACACGUGAGUAACCUGCCCUUGACUUUGGGAUAACUCCAGGAAACUGGGGCUAAUACCGGAUAGGAGCUCCUGCUGCAUGGUGGGGGUUGGAAAGUUUCGGCGGUUGGGGAUGGACUCGCGGCUUAUCAGCUUGUUGGUGGGGUAGUGGCUUACCAAGGCUUUGACGGGUAGCCGGCCUGAGAGGGUGACCGGCCACAUUGGGUGGGAGAUACGGCCCGGACUCCUACGGGCGGCAGGAGUGGGGAAUAUAGCACAAUGGGCGGAAGCAUGAUGCAGCAACGCCGGGUGCGGGAGGACGGCCUUCGGGUGGGAAGCAGCUUUCGCCUGGGACGAAGCGUGAGGGAGGGUAAUGGGUAAAGAGACACCGGUGAACUACGU